rnacentral:rRNA from 1 species
UACGUAGGCGGAAAAUUAAGUCAGUAGUGAAAUCCCAUAGCUUAACUGUGGAACUGUUAUUGAUACUGGUUUUCUUGAAUUUAGUUGAGGUAGGCGGAAUGUGUAAUGUAGCGGUGAAAUGCUUAGAUAUUACACAGAACACUGAUUGCGAAGGCAGCUUACUAAGCUAUGAUUGACGCUGAGGUACGAAAGCGUGGGGAGCGAACAGGAUUAGAUACCCUGGUAGUCC